rnacentral:tRNA from 1 species
GCCUUCGUGGCGUAGUGGUCAGCACCCUCGGCUCAUAUUCGAGAGGUCCGUGGUUCAAGACCCGGCGAGGGCA